GUUCAGUUGAUGAGUCCCGAAUAGGACAAAACGCGCGUCCUGGAU
rnacentral:hammerhead_ribozyme from 1 species